rnacentral:rRNA from 1 species
AGUCGAACGCGGGCACUUGUGCCCGAGUGGCGAACGGGUGAGUAAUACAUAAGUAACCUGGCCUUUACAGGGGGAUAACUGCUGGAAACGGCAGCUAAGACCGCAUAGGUAGGGACACUGCAUGGUGACCGUAUUAAAAGUGCUGCAAGGCACUGGUAGAGGAUGGACUUAUGGCGCAUUAGCUGGUUGGUGAGGUAACGGCUCACCAAGGCGACGAUGCGUAGCCGACCUGAGAGGGUGACCGGCCACACUGGGACUGAGACACGGCCCAGACUCCUACGGGAGGCAGCAGUAGGGAAUUUUCGGCAAUGGGGGGAACCCUGACCGAGCAACGCCGCGUGAAGGAAGAAGGAAUUCGUUCUGUAAACUUCUGUUAUAAAGGAAGAAAGACGGAUGGAGGAAAUGACAUCCGAGUAGACGGUACUUUAUGAGAAAGCCACGGCUAACUACGUGCCAGCAGCCGCGGUAAUACGUAGGUGGCAAGCGUUAUCCGGAAUUAUUGGGCGUAAAGAGGGAGCAGGCGGCAGCAAAGGUCUGUGGUGAAAGACUGAAGCUUAACUUCAGUAAGCCAUAGAAACCGGGCAGCUAGAGUGCAGGAGAGGAUCGUGGAAUUCCAUGUGUAGCGGUGAAAUGCGUAGAUAUAUGGAGGAACACCAGUGGCGAAGGCGACGAUCUGGCCUGCAACUGACGCUCAGUCCCGAAA